rnacentral:rRNA from 1 species
ACUCCUACGGGAGGCAGCAGUGGGGAAUAUUGCACAAUGGGGAAACCCUGAUGCAGCCAUGCCGCGUGUGUGAAGAAGGCCUUCGGUUGUAAAGCACUUUCAGUAGGGAGGAAGGUAGUGUAGUUAACACCUGCAUUAUUUGACGUUACCUACAGAAGAAGCACCGGCUAACUCCGUGCCAGCAGCCGCGGUAAUACGGAGGGGUGCGAGCGUUAAUCGGAAUUACUGGGCGUAAAGCGCAUGCAGGCGGCCUGUUAAGUCAGAUGUGAAAGCCCGGGGGCUUAACCUCGGAAUUGCAUUUGAAACUGGCAGGCUAGAGUCUUGUAGAGGGGGUAGAAUUUCAGGUGUAGCGGUGAAAUGCGUAGAGAUCUGAAGGAAUAUCAGUGGCGAAGGCGGCCCCCUGGACAAAGACUGACGCUCAGAUGCGAAAGCUGGGGAGCAAACAGGAUUAGAUACCCUGGUAGGAUAGCG